AUUGAACGCUGGUGGCAUGCUUUACACAUGCAAGUCGAACGGCAGCGCGGGCUUCGGCCUGGCGGCGAGUGGCGAACGGGUGAGUAAUGCAUCGGAACGUGCCCAGUAGUGGGGGAUAGCCCGGCGAAAGCCGGAUUAAUACCGCAUACGACCUGAGGGUGAAAGCGGGGGACCGAAAGGCCUCGCGCUAUUGGAGCGGCCGAUGUCGGAUUAGCUAGUUGGUGGGGUAAAGGCUUACCAAGGCGACGAUCCGUAGCUGGUCUGAGAGGACGACCAGCCACACUGGGACUGAGACACGGCCCAGACUCCUACGGGAGGCAGCAGUGGGGAAUUUUGGACAAUGGGGGCAACCCUGAUCCAGCCAUGCCGCGUGCGGGAAGAAGGCCUUCGGGUUGUAAACCGCUUUUGUUCGGGAAGAAAUCCUCUGGGCUAAUACCCCGGGGGGAUGACGGUACCGGAAGAAUAAGCACCGGCUAACUACGUA
rnacentral:rRNA from 1 species